ACUCCUGCGGGAGGCAGCAGUGGGGAAUUUUGGACAAUGGGCGAAAGCCUGAUCCAGCAAUGCCGCGUGCAGGAUGAAGGCCUUCGGGUUGUAAACUGCUUUUGUACGGAACGAAAAAGCUCCUUCUAAUACAGGGGGCCCAUGACGGUACCGUAAGAAUAAGCACCGGCUAACUACGUGCCAGCAGCCGCGGUAAUACGUAGGGUGCGAGCGUUAAUCGGAAUUACUGGGCGUAAAGCGUGCGCAGGCGGUUAUGUAAGACAGAUGUGAAAUCCCCGGGCUCAACCUGGGAACUGCAUUUGUGACUGCAUGGCUAGAGUACGGUAGAGGGGGAUGGAAUUCCGCGUGUAGCAGUGAAAUGCGUAGAUAUGCGGAGGAACACCGAUGGCGAAGGCAAUCCCCUGGACCUGUACUGACGCUCAUGCACGAAAGCGUGGGGAGCAAACAGGAUUAGAUACCCUAGUAGUCCCAUGAU
rnacentral:rRNA from 1 species